rnacentral:lncRNA from 1 species
UAGGAUCUAGGUCGAUGGCUCAUUGAUCUCAACACAUACGAAUCAGGGGGAACAUCAUCGACAGCAGACCCCUGCUAAGCUAGCCAAGCAACACCUAAGAACCAUGCACACCGAUGAUGCCUUACUAUUACUCGGCAUUUGUAGCUACUAAUCAGCUAACAAAACGAGCAACUUCUGAUCUAAAAGAGCUACCUUAUAUAGUAUUGAGUAACCAAGCAACCAACCCAUUGACCUUGAUCCCCAUCGAAGAUGACAAUGAUUUUAAAAAUAUCAACGUGUGACUAAUUACUAAUUAGCUAACCAAAAUGAGUAACUGAAACCUAUACUUGUAGGGCAAUCAAGCUAACUUUAUGUUUCAAACUUUGCCUGUUACCCACACACACAAAAUCAAGUUUCAUAGGUGGAAACUUAUUAGCUAUGUAGUGUUCUCUCUAGUUUGGUCCAAAGGAAGUAACAUAAUAGAACAAACCAUGAAUCGUGAAACAAGAAAGAAUAUAUAACUAAGUAGAUAGGAGCAACAUACAGGUACACUCAUACCGCUGAAUCUUGCCAGUCAAUGGAUUGAACAAUUCCAGGGUACCACGGUCUAGCUGCCAGACAAAGCGUUAAAUGAGACCAAAAGCUAACUAGGAAGAAAAUUAGAUUCAUAAUAUUAUUUUUAUCUAAGAAAUCAUGAAAUUCGAAAUACAGAGUUGAAAAUGAAAACGCGAAGAAAAAAUGUUUCAAAACUCAAGCAUCAAGACACUGAAAAAGCCUAAUGCCCACAUGAUUUCUAUCAAAACUGUCGCAUGAUUUAUCUAACAUCAAGUUGAGUCCACUCCAGCUUGCCAUCAAAAGUAAACAUUCUAUAUGUAUACAGGCCAUCACAUCAGUGCUCUUUGCAUUCCAAGGCGCAAACAGAGAAAUAACUUAUUUCUCAACUCCACGCACGCUACGGUGUGAUCAAAGGAUUCAAUCAUUACUUUAUUUCUCACCAAAUUAAGUCUACAACUCAUGUUGCCGUGAAAACUAUAACCUGUCAUAUGGUGCAGCAGAAUCAGACACACAAAGGCAUUGGAGGCAUGAGGUAGAAAGCCUUACUUGAGGAAACAGAUGAUUAUGAUAUGCCCGUAGUAGAAUCUGUAAGUAACAAACCCCCAACCGAAGAGCAUCCUUUCUGCAAGAAAGCAACCACAAGAAAAGGGUAAUUUAUAUAUAAUCAGUAGCAGUACUUAAAGAAAAAGGAAGUGAACGAUCUAUAAGAAGAGGAUAAGAGCAACACUUACAAGAUUGCUGUAGUGAAUCAUGCACAAGAGCAUCUAUUAUGCAAGUAAGGAACUAACAAGAAUCAAUGAAUACAGCAUCUUUAAGCCUGAGAUGGAUACUGAAGCUGUAAACGAUGGUAAAAGUAGUAGAUAAGUAGUAUAAGCAAGUUUCAGCCAAAGCAAGGCUGCUAAUUGCUAAAACUAUGAGAAGCUAAAAGAGAGAGAGACUUCAAUCUAAAAGCAGAAAGAGGGGACAAUCUAAGAUCCAUUUGUUUAGUGUUACCACUGUCUACAGAAUCGGUUCUGUGAAAACUAGAUCCAAUAACAACUGUUAUCAAAGGAUUUAAUCACACUAUUUUCUUUCUCACCAAUCAACUGAUGAUGGAUGUUAGUAUAUUACUUGCCCUUGGUUCACCCGCUUACCACAAUAAUUGGUCCAUGUAACGGUUCUCCACUUGGUAUAGUGUUACACCUCUUAGAGAUUCCAUGUACCAGAGUUUAUCUCCCAUUUGCAUUACCUCGUUAUGCUUAACCUGUGUACUAACAAACUCAAUCCUAGAAAAUGAUCACAUCAAUAAGAAGAAAGAUCAAUUUAUUUUUUAAACCUUUCACAUGCGUCUAACUCCAUCUUCAGCAUCUCUAAAACUCCAUCCAUCUCAACGUGCCACAAAGAAUCAAUCAAACUGCGAUGAAUACAAUCCAAAUGUACAACCAAAAUGAGAUUCGAUACAAAGUUUCACCGGAGACACUCAGAAGGCCCUUUCUGAAAUGAGACUUGUUCGACAUAGCAAGCCCUGCUGGUGAUUAUGAGGCACACGAUAGACUGUGGAAUCUCGCAUGAAAGUCGCUCAGAUCUGAGUUAACGAGUCUACUCGACCCGGUUUAUAUAUAACUUACUAGGUGUACCCCGUACUGCGUACGGGCAAAUAAAAUAAUAAAAUUAUUAUGUUAAAAUAGUAUGGUUUGUAGCCAAGUUUAGUGAAUGGUAAAUUUGGUGAUACUCAACGUAUUCCAAU